GAGUUUGAUCCUGGCUCAGAUUGAACGCUGGCGGCAUGCCUUACACAUGCAAGUCGAACGGCAGCACGGGAGCUUGCUCCUGGUGGCGAGUGGCGAACGAGUGAGUAAUGCAUCGGAACGUAUCCCGGAGUGGGGGAUAACGUAGCGAAAGUUACGCUAAUACCGCAUAUUCUGUGAGCAGGAAAGCGGGGGACCUUCGGGCCUCGCGCUCUUGGAGCGGCCGAUGUCGGAUUAGCUAGUUGGUGAGGUAAAGGCUCACCAAGGCGACGAUCCGUAGCAGGUCUGAGAGGAUGAUCUGCCACACUGGAACUGAGACACGGUCCAGACUCCUACGGGAGGCAGCAGUGGGGAAUUUUGGACAAUGGGGGCAACCCUGAUCCAGCCAUGCCGCGUGAGUGAAGAAGGCCUCGGUUGUAAGGUACUC
rnacentral:rRNA from 1 species